UGCCAGCCGCCGCGGUAAGACGAACCGUACGAACGUUAUUCGGAAUCACUGGGCUUAAAGAGUGCGUAGGCGGCUUUGCAAGUUGGGUGUGAAAUCCCUCGGCUCAACCGAGGAACUGCGCUCAAAACUGCUUGGCUUGAGGGAGACAGAGGUGAGCGGAACUGAUGGUGGAGCGGUGAAAUGCGUUGAUAUCAUCAGGAACACCGGUGGCGAAAGCGGCUCACUGGGUCUCUUCUGACGCUGAGGCACGAAAGCUAGGGGAGCGAACGGGAUUAGAUA
rnacentral:rRNA from 1 species